AAGUUUAUUUGAACUGCUUCUGCACUUCCUAUAAAGCAGGCUUUUAUAGGAUUUUGAGUUUCAUGGCCAAAUGAAGAGUACUAAAUAUUGUUUGAUUGCGUUCACAGAGUGGAGACCAAGAUACAGCUGGGCAACUCAGCAGCACAACCUUGGCACAUGAUGGUUUGCUGGCAGGCACUACACUGGACGACGCCUCUGACAGAGGCCCAGAAGCGCUGUCGUCGCAAAGUGAACCUGCUAGCCUCCACCUGGAUCCACUUGGUGUAGAAUGCCCAAUCCCAGAAAGAGACCGAGCAUGCAAGAGCAGCAUAUUGGCCACGGCAAGGGAAACUCUGCAUUUGGAUGUGUCGCCCAAUGCCUCCGAAAAAGACAGAGACCAUGAGGCAUCACAUACUGGACCUUCUGUCAUCCAAGUGGAUCCAGCUAGUGCAGAAUGCCCAAUCUCAGAAAGGGACCGCACAUGGAAGAACAGCACGUUAUCCACAGCAAGGGAAACUUUGCAUUUGGAUGCGUCGCCCAGUGAUGCCUCCGAAAAAGACGGAGCCCACGA